UUGCCAGACUCCUACGGGAGGCAGCAGUGAGGAAUAUUGGUCAAUGGGCGGAAGCCUGAACCAGCCAAGUCGCGUGAGGGACUAAGGCCCUGCGGGUCGUAAACCUCUUUUGCCGGGGAGCAGUGGUCCGGACGCGUCCGGACCGGGAGAGUACCCGGAGAAAAAGCAUCGGCUAACUCCGUGCCAGCAGCCGCGGUAAUACGGAGGAUGCGAGCGUUAUCCGGAUUUAUUGGGUUUAAAGGGUGCGUAGGCGGGCUGUUAAGUCAGCGGUCAAAUGUCGGGGCUCAACCCCGGCCUGCCGUUGAAACUGGCGGCCUCGAGUGGGCGAGAAGUAUGCGGAAUGCGUGGUGUAGCGGUGAAAUGCAUAGAUAUCACGCAGAACUCCGAUUGCGAAGGCAGCAUGCCGGCUCCACACUGACGCUGAGGCACGAAAGCGUGGGUAUCGAACAGGAUUAGAUACCCUCGUAA
rnacentral:rRNA from 1 species